rnacentral:rRNA from 1 species
UAGGGAAUAUUGCACAAUGGAGGAAACUCUGAUGCAGCGACGCCGCGUGAGUGACGAAGGCCUUCGGGUUGUAAAGCUCUGUUCUUAGGGAAAAAGAAAGUGAUUGUACCUGAGAAGAAAGGACCGGCUAACUUCGUGCCAGCAGCCGCGGUAAGACGAGGGGUCCAAGCGUUGUUCGGAAUCAUUGGGCGUAAAGCGGGUGUAGGCGGCUCUAUAAGUCAGGAGUGAAAGCCCCGAGCUUAACUUGGGAAGUGCUUUUGAUACUGCAGAGCUUGAAUGUGGGAGAGGGUAGUGGAAUUCCAGGUGUAGUGGUGAAAUACGUAGAUAUCUGGAGGAACACCGGUGGCGAAGGCGGCUACCUGGCCCAACAUUGACGCUGAGACCCGAAAGCAUGGGGAUCAAACAGGAUUAGAUACCCCCGUAGUCC